rnacentral:lncRNA from 1 species
UUCCUUUUGCUUUUAGAUACUAUGAAGUAUUAUAGCUUUAGACUUAUGUUUUGGACUAAGAUUUUGAUUGGAUGAUGAUUUUGUAAAAUUUGAUCGAUAAUGUGGAUUGCAUAUCAGUGGAAUGACUACCAAAGCAUUUUAAGAUCUCUCAAGGAGAGUCUCUGUAAUGUUCUCUCUUUAUUUUUAGUUAUGAUGCAGUUUCUGAUGCCUAGGCUUGUUAACAAAACCUGAGUUUUGAAUGUCUAAGGCGCUACUGUGUCUUCAAGAAAAGCAAAGCUCUGGUUUUGUUUCUCAACUACACCCUUGCUUUUUGAUUUCCAAUCUUCAAAACUUGUCUGCUGCAUGAGUUCAUUUCAGGUGUUAUUUAGACAUACAAAGAUGUAUUAAUGUUUGCUAGAAAUUGCACUUCCUAUAUUUUUCUGGAGAUGUCAUCCCUAAAUCAUAUGCAGGAACGGUUUUCGUAAUAGCUAUUAGUUAAUUUGAAAGCCUUAAGUUUUGGUCUCUCUGUCUCUCUCUCUCUUUUCUUUCUUCGCCAAACGGUUUGCCCUCUAAACACCUUGUUCGUGUUCGAAUUUGCGAUCAUGUACAUUGUUUCUAUGUCUGUUGAUUCUUGUGUAUCCUGAAUCAGAGGUUUGAAGGUCACACAAAAGCUUAGGUCUUCUUCCAUAUACCUCUUGCUGCUCUGUUUUUUUUAAAACCACUUCUCUGUUUAAGGUUCUUCUCAAGUAUAGGCCUGAAGAAAAAAGCAGCCAAGAAGGAGCGUUU